rnacentral:rRNA from 1 species
CAGGCCUAACACAUGCAAGUCGAACGCGAAAGGGACUUCGGUCCUUAGUAGAGUGGCGCACGGGUGAGUAACGCGUGGGAACGUACCCUGGAGUGGGGAAUAACCAUUGGAAACGAUGGGUAAUACCGCAUAAUGUCUUCGGACCAAAGAUUUAUCGCUCUUGGAUCGGCCCGCGUUAGAUUAGUUUGUUGGUGGGGUAAUGGCCUACCAAGACUACGAUCUAUAGCUGGUUUGAGAGGACGACCAGCCACACUGGGACUGAGACACGGCCCAGACUCCUACGGGAGGCAGCAGUGGGGAAUAUUGGACAAUGGGCGCAAGCCUGAUCCAGCCAUGCCGCGUGAGUGAUGAAGGCCUUAGGGUUGUAAAGCUCUUUCAACGGUGAAGAUGAUGACGGUAACCGUAGAAGAAGCCCCGGCUAACUUCGUGCCAGCCGCCGCCGUAA